rnacentral:lncRNA from 1 species
UCAGCAGAUGGAAAGGCAGCUCAACAUCUGAGAAACCAGUCUUACUCCCUGCAGGCAACAGCUGCUUCCAGAAAACAGCCCAUUACUUCACCAAAGUACAGUUCCUACUGGAAGAUAAUGAUCUGACCUAACCUACUAUUGGCUGAAGAAGGAGAAAAGCAGCUGAAGAUGUCUGUUGAGUGAUUACCCUCAUAAUCCGUGACUAAGAACAUCCAAAUCAGCAUGGCUUCUUCCUGUCUGAAAUUAUUACUACUUAGGGUUUUUCACGUGUUAUUUCAUUUAUUGAUUAUUCUGUUUUAAACUUGCAAGACGUAUUGUCUCUUCAGAAAUAAAACUUUAUCACUUG